rnacentral:lncRNA from 10 species
GCAGAGUUGAGAACCACUGAAUUCUGUUCUGAAAACAUCAGCAAGACCUUUCAUGGAUAUUAUAGGCUUCAGGCUCGAGACAGAGAGGAACCGCCUCUGUGUUUUUCACUGUCGUGUCUCAGUGCUGGGAGUGUACUCCAUGUGGUCAGUGUGUGAUCAAUUUAACUGUGCCUGAGGGUUCUGAGAAGACCUCACAAAUGAAGGUACCUUUGACCAGAGCCACGGAGAGGGGACAAGAGUUUACCCACCAGGCGCUGCAAAGCUGAGGUGGCAGGUCAGGACUUCCAGUGAGAAGGAGGUACUGGUAAAGGAGACUGUUAUUAUGAGCAGCUCCGUCCAGGAGAAGCCAGGGUUCCUGGUCCAAAACAGCACCCUAGGUUCAAAUAGGAAUACCCUGGGGUUGGAGGUGAGGGAAGGGUGGUGGACAGCUCACUCAGCUAUCAGAAGCUGAGGGAUAAGUCCCCUUCCUCCAAUCUGGGCUUUCUUAGCAGCCUUUUGAGCUGGAAUUUGUUUUGUUUUGUUUUGUUUAUGGUGGGACCUACCCACUGUGCAGGGAGGAUCUUAUCAGGUGGCCAAGCUUGUUUUUUGUUUGUUUGUUUUGAGAUGGAGUCUUGCUCUGUUGCCCAAGCUAGAGUACAGUGGUGUGAUCUCGGCUCACUGUAACCUCUGCCUCCUGGGUUCAAGCAAUUCUCCUGCCUUAGCCUCCCACGUAGCUGGGACUACAGGCGUACACCACCAUGCCCAGCUAAUUUUUGUAUUUUUAGUAGAGACGGGGUUUCACCAUGUUGGCCAGGAUGGUCUCGAUCUCCUGACCUCAUGAUCUGCCCAUGUAGGCCUCCCAAUAAGCCUGGUUUUUGGAACAAUACAAAUAAUGAAAAUUUUAAGUACUGACAUUUAUUGAGCUCCUAUUGUACUAUUUUACACACAUCUGGUUUAAGCCACAGCCACUGCACAAGAUUGGCAUUUUUCCCCAUUUCCAGAGGCUGAAACUGAGAUUGAGUUUCAUGUCCAAAGAGUGAGUAACAUGUGUAAAGUCAUGGGGCUAGGAAGUGGUGGAUGGAGUUUCAAACCCAGCUGUGUUUGACCCUGAAGCCAGGGCGCUAAACCACAAUCUUUUUUCUGGCCAGUGUAUCUCACAGGUGAAUCAAUUCACUGGGUUUGGCGCAUUCCCUUGUGGGCUGAGUCACCAUAAGUCAGACUGCCUGAACCUGUUCCUCUCUGGGAGGCUGAUAGAAACCUAAUCUCUAAACUGACAAUGCCAGGGGCAGGACUCUGGACUUUGGUAACCCCAUGAUGGGGUGGCUCCCUACUCUCCCACUCAGAGCUGCAGAUAGCUUUUCUCCAGGACAGCAGGACUCAAGGGUGCUAUGGGGGUUAGUUAUUGCAGACAUCUUGCUUUGCUUUGCUGUAGAGUGGGGUGGCUAAGAGCUUGGGUAGAGGCAGACAGACUGGUUUGAAAUCCAGCCUUUGCACUUCGUAGCUGUGUGACCUUAGCUUGGGCAAGUUUCUUUACCGCUCUGUGCUUCAACUCUCAUCUUUAAAAUGAGGCUGAGAACAGUCUCAUGGUGCUACUGUGAGGAUUACGUGAAAAAACGCGCUUGCACAUAGCAAACCCUCAGCAAUCAUUAGCCUUUAUCAUUGCUGUUGUUGUGACUGGUAUAUAUAUAUAUACUUUUUUUUUUUUUUUGAGUGGAGUUUCACUCUUGUCGCCCAGGCUGGAGUGCAAUGUCGCAAUCUCGGCUCACUGCAACCUCCGCCUCCUGGGUUCAAGUGAUUCUCCUGCCUCAGCCUCCCGAGUAGCUAGGAUUACAGGCAUGCACACCACGCCCGGCUAAUUUUGUAUUUUUAGUAGAGAUGGGGUUUCACCAUGUUGGCCAGGCUGGUCUCAAACUCCUGACCUCAGGUGAUCCACCCGCCUCGGCCUCCCAAAGUGCUGGGAUUACAGGAGUGAGCCACUGCACCCCGCCUGUUGUGAAUAGUCUUAAGGGGAGGCGUAGUGGGAUGUAAUGGGCUGGAGUCCUAGGCCACCACUUUUUAGCCAUGUGACCUUUGAGAUGAACUAUUAAACUUCAUCCCAGAAUCUUUCUAAAUUCUCCAAAGUUAAAGAUGAGAUUUAAUAGCUCAUCUAUUAAAGAUUUCUGGGAUGGCAUUCUUAAAAUUAAGAUUAGCUUCUGUUAAGGAAUUAGAAAACACCAGAGGUAGGGAAUGGUCCCUGUCACAUAUAGACAGCAUUUGCCCUAAACCAUGCUCUGGUCAAGAGGAGGCUGAGGACUUCUGAGCCAUUUGCCUCUCAUCAGAACGUCCUGGGUGUAGUGUCAGAGAGUGGCUGUAUUGGCUUGUCUGAACAGCUAGUGUGUUGCUUUGGUUUGAGCUGAAAGAUUGUUCUAACAAAGGUGCAUGGUGACUAUGGUCAGCAUAGGCGUUAGGAGAGGAGGGGCCGUCUGUGCACACUGUCCUGGGUGUGCCCAUCCUCAGGAGCUCAGCUGUGUAGUGUGUGGCAGCCUGUCCCCCUGACUCCCGCCGGUGAGGUUCACAGAUGGUCAGAGCUCCCAGGUGCGGCUCUAAAGCUCUGGCUCUGCUGCCGUGGCCCCAGGCAACCUGGCUGGCUCAUGGGCUUCAGCUUCUCACAUGUGGAAGAGCACAGAUCAUCCUUCACCCCAGUAUCCCGGUAGCUGACCUCAGACUUUCUGAGUGUGAGUUGACUUGAGUAGCCCUGAGAUGCUGACGUCCUCUGAGUACAUCAACAACAGGGAGUUUCUGGGCUGCAGGCUGAGAACCCGUGUUUGUCACAAGGCGGCCCCACAGAGUUACCACCACUCUAAGGCCCUGCCAGAGCCAGCAACAGAUUAUUCCAGAAGGCACCUGUCUCCCAAUCACCUUCUCUAUCUGGAACAACACCUCCCUCAGGGUUGGGUAAAGUAUUAAAUAUCUGUGCCUUGCAUACACUCACUCAGUGCUCAACAAAUGCUGGUUCUUUCCCAGUUUCUGUAAUCUGUAUGACCUAUCUUGACCAAGAGAUUGUCAUCAUCCUGAGGCCCGGGGCCCAGGCUGCUGUUGCGCUGGCCUCUCUCCCUCACUCUCCAGUAAGCCCUGUCCCAGGCUGGCCUCUCCCUCCGGGGCUGUCUUAUCCACGCUUGGGCUCCAACCACCUUGACCCUUCUCCACCUGUCAGUCACGCCCCAGGUGUUCCCUGAGUCACGCAACAGCUAUAUAGUAGCUCCGCAGACCAACAGCAGGCCGACAGCGUAGCACCUGAGUUCUAGAUCUACCACUGUUCAUGCGGGACCUGGCAUAAAGCAUUCCCACGUCUCGGCCUCCAUUUCCCCAUCUGUGAAACGAGAGCACUGGUCAGCUCUUCACAUGCAGCGUUUGUGGGAUGAAUCCUUCCAUCUGUCCAUCCAUCCCGCCAACAUCCAUGCACAAACAUUUAGCACCUGCUGCAUGCUGUCAGGGACUAUGGCAGGAAAAGAGUUGAAACAGACACGUCCCAGGCCUCCAGCCCCUCACACCACGGAGAGGAAACAGAUGCCCGCAAAGGAGGAGGCACCCCUCAGGGGGCCAGCGCUGCGACACGGUGGAGGCAGGGAGGCCGUCUCUAAGCAGCCUGCGAGUCCCCGCGCUGCACCGUGGCUUUGAGGAGUGGCGGGGGCCGAGGGGCCGGUCUCUCUUCCGGGGGAGAUUCCUCCCCUCACCCCGGCAUUACUCAGCGCCCUGAACUGUCUGCCUCCCUCCAGCCGGCCCUCCUCGUCUUCCUGGAGCGCAGCACAAAGGUCCUGUUGUGGCCGCGGCCCGGGCCGCGGGCGAGCCUCUCUGGAUGGUGGUGACUCAGUCUCUUGCCAUUUCCUUUGUGCGGCUCCGGGGCUCCUCGCUGGGAGCGGAGUGUGUCUGCAGGGCUGGGGGCGGGAGCCGGGACCCACAGCCCGACAGCGAGCCUUUCAUGUGGGCAGGGGGCUUCCCGCACGCAAUGCGAACCUACGCCUGGAGCUUCCCAAAGACAGCGUCCGGCGCAGGAACGCGAGAUGCUGGCCGCCUCGCCUCUGGCCCCCGCGAGCAUCAAAGCGCGUGCCGUCGAGGGGGCACGUGUCCCCCAUCGGGCGCGCCUCUGCUCCUAGUCCCCUGAAUGAACACAUCCUUAUGAAAAGUGGAAAUUAGCCGCCGAAGGGAAGGGCCCGGAGAGCUUGGGAAGCGACCUAGGCUGCCAGCCUCCCGGCGGGUCUUUGGUCCCAGCUCUGAUGACCUGUCAGCAGCCGCAGGACCUGCGCUUAAAGGCGCCUCUCCAGGCCUGGCUCAGGGUGGGGCUCCUCGUGCUCAGCACCCUGGUCAAGGUUAGGGCUGGGUGUGCGCUGGAGGCUUGGAGUGCCAGGGCACCCAGUGAAGAGCGAAUGAAUGAACGAGUGAACACCGGACUGGGGGCCUGCAGACGGUUCUUCGCAGGUUAAUUAGAAGGCCUCUAGCAAGCUGCAGCGGAGGCAUUUCAGGCAUCCUUCAGAGAGGACCCUCGGCCUGGCUCCUAAGGGCCCCUGGUCUGGCUCUCACCCCCUGCUCUGGUGGCAUUUCUGCUCACUCAGCCUUUACCCUUUACACGCCAGCCGCUCUGAACAGUUUAUUCUUCUGGGAGCACAUCAUGUUCUUGCUCACAUCCAGGUUUUGCGUAAGCUGUUCCUGCUGCAAGGAAAACCCUUCCUGUGUCCUCCUCAGGUGAGAGCUCCCGCAGGCAGCUUCUCCCCGGAGUCUGGCGUAAGUGUUCCUCCUCUGCACGCCUCUGAGGACAUUUGCAAAGGUCUGUCAUAGGGCUUACCACCCCGUUACCUGUUUGUUUCCACCAGGGAGUGCGCUGAAGCUGAGAGGGAAUGAGUGAGUGAAUGAAGGGCUUGAGAAAGGAAAUUUCUUCACCCUCCAGUGCCCUCUGGGCAACUCCUGUGCAUCUGUAGGUACCAUUGUGAGGUUACUGCCCUGGACUGGGGAGAGAUCCACACACGCAAGAGUGCAUCUGGCAUCAGUAUAUGGAAAGAAUCCCAAGAGACCAGUGAAGCAAGAAAUUAUCAAAGCUGCGGUAUUUACGAAGUCACUUUGUGCCAGUGCCCCAGCAAGCUGCCACCAUGGCUGCCAAGCCCUGUCACCCUUGCUGAUCAGUACAGAGAGGGGCUCGCUGCGCUGGGUAGAGGAAGCAGGAAGUUUGCUGAACUCAGACGGAAGAAAAAGGAUUCCUCUGGAGAAUCCCAGCAGGUUUCUGAUUGGACAUGGGUCCAUGUCCUUGUGAAGUCUCCUCCUCCUGAACCUGCCCUGCUCUGUGACUUGCUUUUGACCACCAGCAUGCUGCAGAAGUGAUGCCGUGUGACUUCUGAGUGGGUCAUAGGAAGCCUUGCAGUGUGGCCUGGGUCUUCAGGAAUGCUUGUUUGAGGAAAACCACUGUCAUGUAAGAAGUAUGGCUACCCUGAGACUGUCAUGGUGUGAGGACUCCUAAAUGAGUCACAUGUGGAUGGCCACCUAUUCAGGCCUCAGUUCUUCCAGCCAUUGCGACUGUGGCCCACGCAUGUGGGGGAAGAGGCCAUUUUUCACGCCCAUCCCAGUUGAGUCUUUAGAUGAUCCCUUCCUGGGCCUCCAGCUGACUGUAACCAGACUCCAGGCAGGAACCACAUAGGAACUGAACCCAGUCAACCCACAGGCUGGGGAGGAUGAUAGUCCAUUGUUGUAUAAAGCCACUGCAUUUGGAAUGGUCUGUUGUAUACUACCUAAUCAGAACAAGACUCAAUCCUUUCUUCAUAGCUGGUAGUCUUAAGCAUUUAUUAAUUCAUAUUUUAGUCACAUUAUGAAUUUUCUAUCACAAUAAGCAUUUAUUGAGCACUUUUUAUAGAGGGACUAUGCUAGGCUUGAAGAAUAAAAGACACAUAGGACACGGCCCUGCUUAUGUUCAGGUAGCUGUGGUCUAAACGAGGACGCACACAUAAGGUGAAGACCCCAUGAGAUGGAAUACACGGGGAUAACAAGCCUCACAGUGGACUGGUCGCUUUACCAGGGGUGAGGCGAUUCUGCCUAUAAGGUAGGGAAGGACUUUCUGAAAGGGUGACACUGAGUUCCACCUUGAAAAAUGCCUGAGAAUUCACCCAUAGACACAGUGGAAGAGGGGUGUUCCGAGGAAGGGAGAUCAAUGUGCAGAGAGACAGAAAUCCCGGUUCGCUUAUUCCCAACAAGGCAGAGAACAAACCUCUCCCAGUGAUGCCCUCCCUUGUUCCCGUCCCCAAUCUUUUGAUAAUAGUGGGAAGGGUUUCAAAGUGAGGGUUAAAAAUGGGCUGGUUUUGCCACCCCUUAGUAAGUCUUGGGCAGGAUUCUCAACUCUUGACACUCAUUAAAAUCACCUGGGAAGCUUUUGCAAAACUCCAGCAUGGUACAACUACUUUAGAAACUGGUGUUAUCCAUUAAAACUAAACAUUUGCUUAUCUUAGCAAUUCCACUCCUAGGUUUAUAGAGUAAACAGAAACACAUACGUGCCUGUGUCAAAAAACAUGUAUAGGCAUGUUCAAGACCACACUGUUUGGCCAAGUGCCCUAGUUCAUGCCUGUAAUCCCAGCAUCUUGGGAGGCCAAGGCGGGAGUAUUGCUUGAGGCCAGGAGUUUGAGACCAGCCUGGGCAUCAUAGUGAGACUCCCAUCUUGACACACACACAGUUUUUUUUUUUAAUUAGCUGGGUGUGGUGGCGUGCACCUGUAGUCCUAGCUACUUGGGAGGCUGAGGUGAUAGGAUCCCUUGAGCCCAGAAGUUCAAGGCUGAAAUGAGCUAUGAUUGUGUCACAGCACUCCAGUAUGGGCAACAGAGAGAUCCUAUGUCCAAAACAAAAACAAAAACAAAACAAAAAUACACACAUUAUUUGUAAGAUGUAAAAAAAGGGAACAAUCCAUGUGUAUCAAUAGAAUAGUUAUAUGCUGUGUAUGCGUAAUUAGUGUCUUAACCUGUUCAGGCUGCUGAAUACCUCAACUGGGUAAUUUACAAACAACAGAAUUUAUGGCUCAUGGUUCUAGAGGCUAGGUAGUCUAAGAUGCAAACGUCAACAGAUUUGAUGUCUGGUAAGGCCCUGUUCAUCAUAGAUGGCACCCUUUUGCUGUGUCCUCACAUGGCAAAAGGGACAAACAGGAUUUUUUCAAGCCUCUUUUAUGAGGGUACUAAUUCCAUUUAUGGGGGGAGAGCCUUUGUAACCCAUUCACUUCCUAAAGCCCCCACCACUUAAUACUAUUGGAGAUUAGAUUUCAAUAUAUGAAAUUUGGGUGGGACACAAACAUUCAUACCAUAGCGGGCAGACAAUGUAAUACUAUACAGCAAUGAAAAGAAAUGAACAACAGCGACCCAGAACAACAUGAAUGAACUUUUUUUUUUUUUUUGACAGAGUCUUGCUCUAUUGCCCAGGCUGGAAUGCAGUGACACAAUCUUGGCCCAACCUCCACCUCUUGGGUUCAAGCAAUUCUCCUGCCUCCGCCUUCCGAGUAGCUGGGAUUACAGGCACACGCCACCAUGCCCAGCCAAUUUUUGUAUUUCUAGUAGAGAUGGGGUUUUGCCACGUUGAUCAGGCUGGUCUUGAACUCCUGACCUCGGGUGAUCCGCCUGCCUCAGCCUCCCAAAGUGCUGGGAUUGCAGGCAUGAGCCACUGCGCCAGGCCCAUGAAUGAAUCUUAAAAAUAAAAUAGUGAAUCAAGGAAGUCAGACACAAAGAGUACAUACUCUACGGCUGCAUUUCUAUAAAUAUCAAAAAGAGGCAAAACAAAUGUGUGGUGUUAGAAAUCAGGAGAGUGUUACUAUCCUGGGGAGGAAGGAGAAGACCUGAAGGAACUUGAGGGGGGCUUUGGCCUGCUGGUAGAGCUUUUUUUUUUUUUGUCUCGAUCUAGGUGGUAGUUACAUACGGAUAUUCACGUUGUAAAAGUUUGCCAAGGCUUUAAUGUAAUUAUCUGAUGCAUAUUAUAAUUAAAAUGGAAAGUUUGUUUUAAAAGUACCAGUGCUUGGUCUCCACCCCUAUGGACUCUGGUUUUAUUGCUCUGGGAAGGAGCUC